AUUGAACGCUGGCGGCAUUCCUAACACAUGCAAGUCGAGCGAGCGGCGGACGGGUGAGUAAUGUAUGGGGACUGCCCGAUAGAGGGGGAUAACUACUGGAAACGGUGGCUAAUACCGCAUACUAUCGGAUAACCCAUAUGGGAUUCGCUAGUGGGUGGGGUAAAGGCUCACCUAGGCGACGAUCUCUAGCUGGUCUGAGAGGAUGAUCAGCCACACUGCGACUGAGACACGGCCCGGACUCCUACGGAGGCAGCGGUGGGGAAGAUUGCACAAGGGGCGCAAGCCUGAUGCAGCCAUGCCGCGUGGAUGAAGAAGGCCUUAGGGUUGUAAAGUACUUUCAGCGGGGAGGCGUUACCAGCAGAAGAAGCACCGGCUAACUCCGUGCCAGCAGCCGCGGUAAUAC
rnacentral:rRNA from 1 species